GUGAGCAAAAUCUAGCUUUGAGUCGGUAAAUAACAAGAGGAGAAAGAAAGAGUUGACGCCAUGUGUCAGCGAAUCAGGAGAGAGCACGAGAGGAGCCUGUUACGCUUAAUGUCUUUCGGUAAAUCCGUGAGUCGGUAAACCACCGGCGGAGGAUAAAAGAAAGUGAAACCAAAAGAGAGGGCGGCAUCGUGAGCGGAGAGAGGUGCAAACGAAGAGAAGAGGAAACAGAGAGAAGUGAGUAAUUGAGUCGCACAGACAUGUGAGUCGUACGAUGACAUGUCACCGUGUAAUGAGUGGGUGAAUGUAACGGAACACGAGGCCUUGAGUUCUUCAGUCUCCAUACAACCACUGACGGGAUGCUCCAUCACCAGGGUACCACCGGAGUACCACCAGUGUACCAUCAGGGUACCAUCAGUGUACCAUCAGGGUACCAUCAGUGCACCGUCACUACGGACAGAAAAGGGAGACGAAGAUCACCAUGGUGUCGGUUUCUCGAUCUUGUUUAAUGCAGCUUUUGUCACCUUGUCACCUGUUUCUUUUAAUUACAUUAGCUUCUCUCUGUCACUUCUCCUUCACACGCUCAUGUGCUGCACUGCAUUCCCCACCCCAGCCCAACCCAGCCCCGCAUCUCUCUCUCUCUCUCUCUCUCUCUCUCUCUCUCUCGCUGUCGUUUUUAUUACUACCUUUGAUGCAAGGAAGUUCUCGUAUGCAAAGAGACCAAGCGAGCAGAUUAGACGAGGGUGAAGAAGCGGUAUUUCACAUCUGCACACUUCCUUCAGGUUCAUACUGUCUUCGUAUUGCCUCUUCUUCCUUGACAUUUCUUCUCUGUCAUUCCCCAAAAUUCGGCAUCAAGUUUUAAUGAUGAAGGUGGCUGUGACGAUUAUUGCUUUAUUUCUGAGUGACGUUGUUGCACUGGUGUCUAGUACAACGCCUCAAUCUCCCACUGCCUGCCCCACAACAACACCAUGCCCCUCGUGCCCUCCGGCUGUUACGUGCCCCCCAGCUUUGACCCCUGCCCCCGCUCUGCCAGUUCUGCGUACCAUCCACGUGACCCCUGAGCCAACUCCGUGCUUGGGCAGGGUCAACCUGGCAUCAAACGCAACCUUUUGGCUCCCACUCUGCCAGAGCAGCCAGGGCCACAUCUCUUCAAAAAGGUUGUGUGACCAGUUGGGUUGCGGACGCUUCAAGUCUUGGAAGAAGUCAAAGGGCGCUAACGAGGGGUAUGAAGUCCAGGCCGAUGGAUAUUUGAACAACGUGACGUGUAACGCGUUGAUGAUCCAGUGCAUAGCGCGCCCUGCCACUGCGGAGCUGGUGGCCUACAAGACCGUGACUUGGCUGUUGAGCACUGUGUUUGUAAUCCUGAUUCUAAUUCGCUUUGGACCUGGGAGGUGUGCCUCCAUUAACAAGAAAAUAUUUGAGAGACGAAACAGGGAGUGGAUCGGACCCACGCAAAGUCAGAGUGUGUCCUUUUACAGGGCACAGGCCGCUCAUCCGAACAGCAGCGCCAGCAAGAGGUCGUCGUACCCUGCACUGGAGAGACUGUCCGUCCAUCCCAGCAGAGAACCGUCCUCAAACCGGAACAGCUGUGAUUCAUACAACUGAACAGUCCACCUGGAUCAUCCUCACCAUGAAACUCUAUCGUUUUCACCAAUGUACCUAACAACACAUGCAUUCGUAAGUCUUUAUUCCGUAUGCGUGCAAUUUAAAAUGACGUAUUUUUUAAAGAAAGGCAUGUGUUAUUUACUGCGUACCGCUGGUGAAAAGUGCCAAAUCCCACUGUUCUCAAAUGAACCACUGAAUCAUAAGAAAAAAAAAAAAACUGCAAAAUGCCCUCCCCGAUAAAACAUAUAGAUACGCAUCACUUAUUGCAACCGUUGGCCGUGGUUAAUGACUUAAGAAUCAUUGCGCAGAAUCUGAGAACUUUUACAAUAUAAUUGCCUGUCCCACGUGAACUUUUAAAAUGUUUCUGACGCCACCACUUACCCAUCAAGAUGUGCUGAGGUUGACUUUUUUGAAAAGGAGGAAUUCAUAGUAAUUUAGUGAAAAAGGGAAACCUUGUCUUGACUGCUCUCGAUUUAGCAGGGAUAUUGCAAGACAUAUCUUAAAGCCUACUUUAAUGACAAAUACCAUUUAAGGUGUCAGCAGAGAACUAUGAAUGAAUAAACACUGAAUUUGGUUCA
rnacentral:lncRNA from 1 species